CAACGUUAAUCGGGGCAGGGUGAGUCGACCCCUAAGGCGAGGCCGAAAGGCGUAGUCGAUGGGAAACGGGUUAAUAUUCCCGUACUUGGUGUUACUGCGAAGGGGGGACGGAGAAGGCUAUGUUGGCCGGGCGACGGUUGUCCCGGUUUAAGCGUGUAGGUGUGUGUUCCAGGUAAAUCCGGUUCACUUUAACACUGAGGCGUGAUGACGAGGCACUACGGUGCUGAAGCAACAAAUGCCCUGCUUCCAGGAAAAGCCUCUAAGCAUCAGGUAACAUCAAAUCGUACCCCAAACCGACACAGGUGGUCAGGUAGAGAAUACCAAGGCGCUUGAGAGAACUCGGGUGAAGGAACUAGGCAAAAUGGUGCCGUAACU
rnacentral:rRNA from 1 species